rnacentral:rRNA from 1 species
UGACGAGUCGAGUUGUUUGGGAAUGCAGCUCAAAAUGGGUGGUAAAUUUCAUCUAAAGCUAAAUACCGGCUGGAGACCGAUAGCGCACAAGUAGAGUGAUCGAAAGAUGAAAAGCACUUUGGAAAGAGAGUUAAAAAGCACGUGAAAUUGUUGAAAGGGAAGCGCUUGCGACCAGACCUGCCCGUGGGUGAUCAGCCGCCGUUCUCGGCGGUGCACUCGCCCGCGAUCAGGCCAGCAUCGGUUCGAGCGGCCGGACAAAGGCCGCGGGAAUGUAGCUUCCUCCGGGGAGUCUUAUAGCCCGCGGCGCAAUGCGGCCAGCCCGGAUCGAGGACCGCGCUUCGGCUAGGAUGCUGGCGUAAUGGUUGCAAGCGACCCGUCUUGAAACACGGACCAAGGAGUCUAACAUCUAUGCGAGUGUUUGGGUGUCAAACCCAUGCGCGUAAUGAAAGUAAACGGAGGUGAGAACCCGUCAGGGCGCAUCAUCGACCGAUCCUGAUGUCUUCGGAUGGAUUUGAGUACGAGCAUAGCUGUUGGGACCCGAAAGAUGGUGAACUAUGCCUGAAUAGGGUGAAGCCAGAGGAAACUCUGGUGGAGGCUCGCAGCGGUUCUGACGUGCAAAUCGAUCGUCAAAUUUGGGUAUAGGGGCGAAAGACUAAUCGAACCAUCUAGUAGCUGGUUCCUGCCGAAGUUUCCCUCA